UACAGAGGAGCCAAGCGUUGUCCGGAUUGACUGGGCGUAAAGCGCACGCAGGCGGGGGUGCGCGUGGGGUGUGAAAUCUGGCCGCUUAACGGCCAGGCGCCAUCCCAUACGGCACGCCUGGAGCCUUGCAGAGGUCGGUGGAAUUGCCGGUGUAGUGGUGAAAUGCGUAGAGAUCGGCAGGAACACCCAGGGGGGAAACCAGCCGACUGGGCAAGUGCUGACGCUGAGGUGCGAGAGCGUGGGGAGCGAACCGG
rnacentral:rRNA from 1 species